rfam:Archeaon Loki Lokiarch_contig000279, whole genome shotgun sequence.
GUAUUGAGAUGAUCAAUAAUGGCUACUUACCCAUGCAUCAUUAGUAAUGAUGAUGUGUGAAGCGGUAAGGACAAUGUACCGUCAGCGCUUAGCUACAAAGCGGGCUGUGGGCUAGCCAAAGAACCUAUGGGAAA